AAAUCCCACAGCGAACCGUGGUGAAGAGAGCAAGGGAGGUGGAGCCGGCGCCAUUUUGAGAGCGAGGGAUUGCCCGCUGCUCCCCUCCCCCACGGCCGGGAGGGGGUGUGUUGCUCGCCGGGACGGCGGAAGGCGAGUUGGAGGGUGCUUGUGUCUUGAGAUGCUUCAUGCUGAAAGUAGAGUAAGGCUCUUGGAGUGUCUGGAUGAAGUCACAGCUGAACCGUGUUCUAAAAAGAUGAAGUCAACGGAAGGGGCUUUUGAGAACCUCCCUGAUUGUGGCAACCAAGGCAUUCAAGAAGAGGGGGACCCUGACAGAACAUCUAAUGACUUGAUACCGGUGUGUGUUUCAGAUAACGAAGGGGAUAAUGAAGUGCAGAAGGAAGAGAAAAUACCUAUGAAUGUCUUGGGAGCAGCAAAUGAAGUGCUUCCAGAAGGCAACCUAGAGUUUAGUCAAGCAGUUGAUUCUGUGACUGUGCAGAACAUAAAUCCUCCGCUGGUAUCAAUAAAUGACACUGAGGACGAAGAAAAGGAAGAUCCUCUUACUGCGAAUGAUGUCAAUGAAGAUAAUACUAAAAAUAGUUGUGAAGCAUUCUCAGUAAAUAGAAACGAGUCAGAUGGAGAGUUUAUUACAAGCAAAGAAUUCAUUGGACCGAUUUAUAAGCCUGCUGAGAGUAACACACAGGAGCAGUCUGGGGGCUGUGAUGAGUAUCAAAGCAGUGUGGGAGAUGGCGUGCAGGAAAACAAAACUAAAGGAACUGAGGCAAAGAAAGUGCAAGCGAUUUCUUCUGUUGUAUCAGGAAUGGAUGAUGAACUGGACCAGUUCUACAAAGAAAUUCAUCAGCUGGAAAGUGAAAAUAUAAAUAUGCUUCAGGAAAAAGAAACCGAAACUUCUCAGGAACAAUAUUCUGUGAAUAAUUGCAGUCAAGCAUCACAAGAGGAUUAUCAACGUGGAUUGUUGGACAGCCCACAACCGUUUCAUGAGAAUGGACAGUAUUUCUCUGGGGAACAGGGAGGUCAGAAAAUAAGCAAUGAGCAGCAGUUUGUCAUGGAAACAAGUGGCUGGAAACCUGAAAAUGCCUUUAAUGGACAAAUGGAGUCUAGUUAUUCAGUGCCUGAAUUCAGACCUGCCUGGCAGUCAACAGCGUCUUUCAUAGUACCUCAGGGGCCUCCUCCUCCAAGGCUGACCCAUCAGGCGCAUUUUCAGAUACUUAAUUCCCCACAGCAAAAUACAAAUGCUUUUCCUUCUCAGAAUGAUGAACUUUCUUAUGAAAAUUACUAUGGUUACCGUGAAAAUCAGGAUAUCAACUGUCACGGUCCUGUGCACGAUCAGAGUAGCUACAGUGUUGAUCAUACUGAUUUCCAUAGUACUCAGGUCUUCAGCAAUGGAAAUAAUCAUCAGAGUGGUCUCCAAACUAAUGGUUUCUGUGAAACCAGAGAAGAGUAUUGGAAAGAACCAAAAACUUACAGUGCAGAAGGAAUGCAUAGAUUUUCUUCCCCACUUGAGGAGAGGUUUAAUUGUUUACAGAAAGUGCUCCUUAUCUUAAGAGGCCUACCUGGGUCAGGGAAAUCAACGCUGUCUCGCUUUCUGCUUGAUCAUAGUCGUGAUGGUGUUGUACUCAGCACCGAUGAUUACUUUCGUCAGCAAGAUGGAUAUACAUAUAAUGCUGCUCAGCUGGGUGAUGCCCAUGACUGGAACCAGAAGAGAGCCAAACAGGCAAUGGAGCAGGGAAAAUCUCCAGUUAUAAUAGACAACACUAACACUCAAGCCUGGGAGAUGAAACCAUAUGUGGAAGUGGCUCUAGAAAAGGGAUACAGAGUGGAGUUCCGUGAGCCAGAUACUUGGUGGAAAUUUGAUCCUGAAGAAUUGGAAAAGAGGAAUAAACAUGGGGUCACUCGUGAGAAGAUUGCUCAGAUGUUGGAACGAUACGAAUAUCAAAUAUCCGUACCUAUUGUCAUGAAUUCAGAGUUGCCUCCUCACAAACACACGCAGAGGCCACCUGUGCAGCGAAGACAUAGGGAGAGAAUUUUAAGGACAAACCGUGGGCAUCCCUUGGCAAAAGUAAAGCAGAGGAGAAAGCGAAAAAGAAAUAAGAAAAUGAAGAUGACAGAAAUCACGAAGCAGAAUUUAGGUGGAGCAGCUCAUCUCGGCCCGGACAACCAGGAAACAUCUGAAAGUGAAGGGGAGGACUCAGAAGAGGAAAACAGAAAGUCCUUGUGUGCGUCUGGGGAAGGUCCUGAGGAUCCAAUGGGAGGUUGUGAGGAGCGGCCAAAUGGUGAUAAGGAAAGUGGGACAGAAGCUGUGAGCUCUCCUGUCUCAGAGAUCUCAGCCGUAUCCAAUGGGGUGCUGACACAUGAAGUGCCUGUAGAAAGUGACAGCUCACUUCUAACAGAUAAGAAACCCCUUUGUACUGGAAGCACGACCGAAAACAUGUUUGGUGGUGAGGAAGUGAAUCAAAGGCAUAGGGAAAAUCUUUGCAAGUGCAGCUGUAUCCGAGAAGCAGAAUGCAACUCCAAAGGUAACAGGCUGCUGUCCGGCACAGAAAGCAAAUUUAAAAGUACAUGUGAACCUGACAUGGAAGCUGAACAGUUGCAUUUAAAUGGUGAAGAAAAAGAAGCGUCUCUCUGUCACAAUUCCAAAGUGCAUUACAAGGUACCUGAUAGAAACACAGACAAUAAAAGGGCUGUGACACCUGAAGAGAAGAACUGCUCUAAUGGCUGGGCUUUUCUUUCAGUUAGUUCAUCUGCUGAGGAAUUGCAGCUGGGUUUUGAUACACAACUUCCUCCUUCUUGGUCUGAGGAUCAGUCUGUAAGUGAGAAAAGGCAGAAGAAAGCGAGGAAGCCCAAACAGAUGUGCACCAACAAUUCAAGAGAGCUGAACUGCCCCCAGCUCAGUGAGGGAUUGGUAAAGGAAAACCACCAGGGAAUGGGGACUGAGGAGGCAGGGAAUAUACAGAACAGUGGUCUGUUGGCAUCUCCGCCUGAUGAAGUGCGUGUGGGUUCUCUUGUGGAACCCAGGAGCACCUCCACACUCUGUUCAAUGGAAGUAAAUGCUUCAGGAAAUGGCGCUGCACCGGUUGCACCAAAGAAAAAAAGGUACAGAAGAAUAGUCAACUUGGCACCCAAGUUCAAUCUGCCCAGAGAGAUCCCUGGUGGAACGGAGGGAGGGGAGGAAGUCCCACUAAAAGCUGAUGGUCCCUCAGAAGGUGUGUUAGAAGUGGAGCAAAAGGGCUAUCUGCAACAGGACCGUGGACUGGGACAUGAGCAGAGCCUGGUGUUUCAGGAGGAUGCUGCACCGUACAGUGGCCCUCAGGCACCCUAUUCCUUGCCCACCCCCGAUGUGGAUUCCCCUUUAUGUGCUAUUUCAUAUUUUCAUUUGGGACAGUCUUCUCCAAUGCCAAAGUAUUCUUGUAGUGUUUCCAGAACAAAGCAGGAGCGAGCUCCAACUCCAAGGCAGCAACAGGCAGUUGGUAACGGAGUAGGUGAGAGUGAACAAACCUCCUCAGAUGUCAUGAGCAGCCAACCAGAUAUUUUGUCUUCUGUUAAAGCUGAUUCUGAAUAUGCAGAAGAUCUGAGCAGCUUGGAAAGGUGUGUUGUAAACGUGCACAGAACAGAUGGCACUGAGCAGUCAGAGGCCUCUCCACCUGCAUUUAAACAAGAUGUGAAUGUGAAAGCCAGCUUCCUGGGACUUCCCUUAUCUAUAGGAUUUGCUUUUCAACUUGUGCAGCUCUUUGGUUCUCCAGGUCUUCCACUGGAAUCCUUGUUGCCAGAUGAUUAUGUAGUUCCUCUUGACUGGAAAGUUUCAAAGAUGAUCUAUUUACUGUGGAAGACCUCUGUGGAGGAGAAGCAGAAAGCAAAUGGGUUGCGGAGUGGAAGUGCCUUGGCUGCUGAUGUUGUUACCCCUGAAGAUCUAAAUGAAAGUCACCGCGAGAAUGAAGACGCUUCUGAACUACUUCCAGAAACGUCUCCUGGGGUGAUGGCAGAGAACACCGCGACCUGCGCCAGCAGCAGCUGCCUGGGCGCUGUCCUCCAUCAGUUGUGACUGAAUAUCUUGGUUCAAAUAACAAACAAAUCAACCUGCAUGAAGGAGAAGAAACUUCGCUUUAAUUCCACAGUGGAAAGGCUUCAAUUUGCAACCAAAGAUUUUAAAUGCAAGGAGCAACCUGGAAGAAAUAAACCAGUAUCAGUUGCUGGUGUGAAUCUGUAGCUAUUUUCCUCCCCCAGCAUCAUCAGCUUCUUUAUGCACAUAAUAAAAGCCACAAUUGAGAUGA